rnacentral:rRNA from 1 species
AUGCAGUUCUUCGGCGGGUCGUCGCUGACGUCCGUCGCGCCGGAGUCCAGCCCGGCACCAGCGGCGCCUCCGGGGACGGGAACGGGCUCCAACGCCCAGGUGAUCUACGUCUUCAACCGCAACGGCGUGUGCCUGCUGUACCGCGAGUGGCACCGCCCGCUCCGCACGCUCGCCCGCAACCAGGACCAGAAGCUCAUGUUCGGCCUCCUCUUCUCCCUCCGCUCCUUCACCGCCAAGAUCGACCCCACCUCAACAGAACACGCGAAUCUUGGGGCGCCACUACUGCCAGGUCAGGGAUGUUCAUUUCAUAGCUUCAAGACAAACACAUAUAAAUUGAACUACAUGGAGAGCCCGUCUGGUAUAAAGCUUAUUCUCCUUACCCAUCCAAGGACUGGUGAUCAACGAGAUGCGCUGAAGCAUAUUUACAGCCUAUAUGUGGAGUAUGUUGUAAAGAAUCCUCUGUAUGCUCCUGGCAGCCCAAUCAAGUGUGACCUUUUCAAUAAACAUCUCGAUCAGUAUGUGAAAACAUUGAUUUGA